UCCAGGCACAGAGGAACAAGCAGCACGGGGCCCCAGCAGGACUGGGGUUGGAGGUCAUCGAGACCAAAUCCAGCCAGCCAGUGCCCAAGCCGCGGGGCAGCGUGAGGAAGUCAGCGGUGGACCCCAUGGAGCUGGAGACGGACGCUCAGUCCCAGAGCAGCGCCACCUGGCUGGUGGACCCCAAGGACUCCAAACGCACCAUCAGCACCAACUGACUGCUGUGUUGAAGUGUCCGGACUGUGGCUGUGAGUCGGGGACUGAGGGCUGGUACCCUGUGUUGGGGGAGCUGUAUACUGUUCCCACAGUAUAUGGUUUUUCAUUGGGGUGGGGGAGGUGCGUGCUUAAUGCUUGUGGGGAUCGGUACUGUAAUGUCCCCCCACACACACAC